GCCUAUAAAAUUAAAUACCCUAAAGGCACCAAAUCCCACUUGAUCUUGGAAACCAAACAGGGUUGGCCUUGGUUAGUACUUGGAUGGGAGAAUCACAGUGAAUACCAGGUGCUUUAGGCU
rnacentral:rRNA from 1 species